GGGGACUUCUAGGGUAAGACAAUAACUGGGAGAGCCCUGGAGAAGUCAGACAUUGGCUGGGGCAGUUGGGAAGUCUGGUUCCUGAACUGAGCAGAACUCAUACCUUCCGGAAAACCUCAUGGGCCUGAAACCUGCUGUGACCACUAGAUGUCACUGGUGACUUCCUUGGCCAGCUCUAGCAGCCAAACAAGUAAGCUUCCGGCUUGGACACAUGAGACUGGACCCCAGCUGGUAGCACUAACCAAAUGUAGUGAGCCAUUAAAAGAUGUUGGGGCCAGAAACACGAGAGGGAAGAUUUUAACCCAACCAACAUUUGAUUGGAAGUUCCUGGGAGUAGUAUGGACUAUAUCAGCCCAUAAGAAAACUUGAAUCCCACCAGAGGCUGCUUCAGCCUCCACUGUCAGCUAUCACAAAGCCAGCUGAAUUAUUACCGCUACUGAAACACACUCAACUAGCUUCUGGAUUAGCAGACUGAAAUCCUAGUUAAUGGCUCCAGCAGGGAUCAGCACUAUGAACUUCCAACUCAGUACAUCCUCAGCUGCAAGAAUAUCACAGCGGGCUCACUACCUUUUGCAUAUUAAGUCCACACCCUAAUAAAUGC
rnacentral:lncRNA from 1 species